UAGCAUAGAAAGCACCUGGAAUUAUUUAUAUUUUCUAUUUAUAAUAGAUUAACUCUUUGGAUAAUUUCAUAACUAUAUUAAGAAUACAUUUGUUAAUCUUAACAUCCAUUGCAGAAAGAUUAUAUUUACACACAAAUACACAAAGACUUGAUGUGAAAGAGCAGAAAAGAAGAAAAGAAGGUGCCUGAUCCUGUGCCCUUAUUUAUAUACAUGGGUAGUGCCUUUAAGUCAACUUGUAUGAGUGUGGGUCCCAGGUGUGGAUAAAAAUUACAGGUUCUGGUCCAUAAUACUUUAUGCAUCUAUGAUUUUGACAAACUACUAUUUAAACUAUUUUUACAAAUACAUUCUACAGUAACUGUGUCUAUGGGCUCAGGCAUCCAGCCCUGAGAGAAACACAAAGUCUGCAUUUGUAAAAAUCCCCACAACAUGUUAAGAAUUAGCUGUUUUUACAACUCUGCACUGGAACAUACCUGUCCAGCCAGCACAGGGGACGAUCCCUCCAGUGUCCCAGGCUGCACUGGGACCUACAGGAACAGGUUCUCUUUAUUAUAAGACUUAGACAAGUGAGUCUUGGUGAAACAGUAACAGCUUGCUUGAAAUGCAAAACAAGCCCAAAUGCAACUCAAAAUAGAUUCAAAUUGUGUUUUUCUAUCUACCUGCAAAUGUUGCUGUCCAAAAAAGAGACUUCAGUUCAAGAUAACAACAUUACAUUGUCUAUAAAAAUGAAACCAUACAGUUUUCAGAGUACAGGAGCUUCUUAUAUUGGCUGCAUUCUUCAUUAAAGUCUCCUAAUACAAUCUUGGUUUGAAACAUACUUUAGAGAACAAACUAAACAUGUUUGCAAUACUUUGACAGGAAAAUGGAAUUCUUUCCAGACUGAAAGAAUAUGAAUUUUGUAAGUCAAUAAUGACAACAUUUUUGUAGGUAAAAAGUGCAAAUUUGUGUAUAUUACCUCUAAGAAUUUUACACUGCUACCUACAGGGAAUUUCAAAGCGUCCUUCUUUUGUUGUGCUUUACCAGUUGAAUAGUACAUUUUGACCAAGAGUCAUAAAGUAUAUUUGACUGCUGCCUCCUGACUGUACAGAUGCAAAGAACACCUUGAAGGGGGAAAAAAAAAAGAACAAAACAUUAUGCUACUGUCAGUUUACAUUUAUGAGAAUAUUUUUACUCAUAUAAGAAGUUUGAUAGAAUGUCACAGUCCCAAAUACAAGGAUAUAUGGAUAUCACAAAUCAACUUUAAUCCCAUGAGAAACUUCUUAAAGUGAAACUCUACUGUGGUACAACUGGAUUUUUCUUAAUAUAUAUUUCUUUUAUAAUUUGAAAAGACACAGGAGAACAUUUAAAAAUAAUUUAAACAGUUUGGGGGCCCCAGUUUUCCAAAUAUGACAGUAGGACUAAGAAGGUUUCAGAGAACAUUUAUCAAAAUUGCUAUAUACAAGAAAUCAUACUUGAUUAUCCAUACUUUGGUGUCUGCAAUUAAGAGUGUUGUGGGUUUUGUUUCUCCAUGAUGGCUGCUCUGAACUGCCUGUAAUUUCAGUAGCCCAGGAGAGGCAGUCCUGGAGCUGGCUGUUUUUGGGGCUGACUCACCAGCCCUCCCCACUAUAUCUGUGGUGUGGCCAGUUAGCAACAUCUCUAUUUAUUAUCACCUCUGAUAGCAGUGAAGGCUGGGUGGAAUAGGAGUUCUAACAGAGCUGGUGGUGGGAAAGUGCAGAAUAUCCAUAGUGAGGGUUUUGUGGGAUCAGUGACUACAUUGGCUUUGAAUGGGGAAGUUAUACUAAGGUAAGAAAUAACCAAUAACAAAGUUACAAAAAUUAACUGGUCUUCAUGUCAUAGUCAGCUAUUACUCAUUUUUGCUAAAUCACCACACUCAGUAACCUCUGUACCUUGUCAUUUCUUUCACAAAGAAAUUUUAGCUUCUGUGCUUUCUUGUGCAUAAAUACUCCUUCCAGAUUUCCUGUCUCCACAGAGCGUAGUUCAAUGGCUUUCUCUCCCCAGCCCAUGACCUGAUUAGAUUGAAGUUACUCUUUGUGCACACUGAAGGCUUCCCUGUCACUAGAGCUGAGAGCAAGACAAUUCUUUCCCAGUAUCCCAGUCAUGACGAAAGACAAGAAACCAACUUGUUUUAAAAGCAAAGCAGCAGUGAGCAACUAAGGGCAAGUGGCAAAAGAGGAGGGAUAUUUUCUAAAACUCAAACACAUGAAAUCAAUACGUUUUUAAAUCCUUUCAGUUCUUAGGCUGUACAACAGGGUAUCAUUGCUGUAGGCUGGGAGGGUGUCAUUAACAUCUCUGAACCCACUGCAGCAGUAGCCAGGUGAGCCCCAGGGCAGUACCAAGUGAAGUCAGCAUGUGAAAAGGUUUGUGAAAAUUGCUUCAGGCAAGUGUGGAGCUGGGCAAAACACACUGAGGAGAAUAUCUAGUGACGACUUUGGUGACAGCAGAAGGUACCAUCCACUGCCGAGUACACUGCUGUAGAACCCUUCUUUGGCCCCUCAGUCAAACUCAGUACACUCUAUGAAACCACAAUAUAUUCAAGCUUUUUUCAACAUAUACUAUAUUCAAUAUACAUAAAGCUUUUACUGGUUUGCCAGUCUUUGGGGAAAACAUGUUUGUUCAUUUUUAGACAAAUGGAGGAGACACCUGUUGAGGACUGGGAAUGAAAAAAACCCACAGAGAUACCAACAGUGUCCUAUGAUGCAGCAAAGCUUGUUCCCACAAAAACCCAGCCAAGAGCUUUCCAGUGAUGCUGCUGAUUACUGAUUAGGGACUGAUAGCUAUUUUGCAUGCUGUCUCUAGCCCAUGCUUUAAUACUUACUGACCAUAAAGUUGAGCAGUUUUGGGUAGGAAAACGGAGGAAGAUAACUUCUCUUGUGCAAUUCUGUUAAAUAGUUUUACUGCUAUAAUUUAUGUUACCUGGAUACGGAAGAGGGUGUUUUUCUUCUUCCAGUCACAGCUGUGGAGAACUUUUAUUAAACAAGAGAGGCUAGAGAGUCAAAAUAAAGAAGGAAAAAAAAAGCUAAGGCUGAAUAAAGUUAGAAAUAGACAAAUUAAGAAAUUGGCCCUGGAAGGCCGGUGUUUUCCUGCUGUACAUUUUGGUUAGAGCACACUGGGAAAAGGGCUAACAUACAGUAGAAGUGAUACCCCAACCCAGAAACACACCUGGGGUGGCCAUUUGCUUGUUUGAAUGCCUUUUGCUGUUCCCUUGGGGAAGAGCAUGCAGGAGACCUGACCAACAUCAGUCACUCAGAUAUGAGUGGGUGUGUUUUGUGCACGAGCUGGACAGCAACUCUCUCAAGAACUGGUGAGUAUGGUGGCAGAACACUGAGGCAAUAAUUCUACCACUAACACUGUCUGUUUCUCUCCAUAAUAUCCGUUUUGCUUCUAAUAUGUACAGGGAAAAUGAAAUAAGGGCUUUUACUGCUUCUGCACUCUGGGAAUAUCCAGAUUUGUGUCAAACCUCUGAGAUUACAUACUGUAAAUAAUUCAUUACUCACACAAAAGGGCAAAAGUGCUCCCCAAUCUUAUUAACUUGAUGUUUCUUAAAGCCUUUUUUAAUCCUGUUUUAUAGAAAGAAAAUAUUACAUCUAUAUUUAUAUUUAGCCCUACAUAUGUAAAGUAUCUUUCAGCUUAAACAUAGAAUACUUCUACAAUUUUAAUUUCCCAUGGGAUUUGAGCUUCCUCUCUCCAAUUUCUUAUUAACAGAUCGGUCACAGAGGUCCCAACUUUAAGACUAUGAGUAAGUUAUAUUUAGAUUCCCUGCCCUAAAUCCAUUGAUUAUAAUACAAACUAUUUUUUACUUUUUGUAUCAAAAUAUUCUCACCAACUAUGAAAGUUUUCUUUCAAAAUACUUGUUUAAAGAAAUCAAGAAAUGAGCAAAGGAUGACUAGAGAGCACCCUGAGGUUAACACAACACCCUUCUAUCUCUGCAACAUAGAGUGAAGAUUUUGAGUGUUAGCUUGAAGCCCUCCACAGAAGGUGAAACAAACAGCUGUCCUGGCUCCACUACAAGCAGAAUCUCCUCCUACACAGACAACUGCAAGCAUGGGGAGCUUGAGAAUCUGUUAUAAAUACCCUGGGUUGGCAGCCCUGUGAAUUUAAAGUGAUAAAAUUAAGGGGCCAUUUGACAGCAGUUGCAGAUCUCUUCAGUAACUGACCUCUCUGUAGCUGUGAAUUUGUACAUAAAACGUUCUGAGCUAUGAACGACCAAAGCACCUUUUCCCCCUCUGUAAUUCACACAAUUCUCUCUGUGAGAACUGGUGGCAAGCUGCAUCAUCAGUGAGGUUUGUCUGUACAGUUAAAGUGUGAUGCAAUAAACAGCGUGGCAAUAAACAGACUGUGAUCCAAAUGUGAAGCCCCUAUUGCAAUCAUUGGCCAUGUUAACACAAACAUCCAUAAAUCUGUUUACUCUUUACACAUUUGGUUUGCUCAGAAGUUGCUUUAUGUGCCAUACACUUUCACAUGGAUACAAACCUCGUAAAGAAGU